rnacentral:rRNA from 1 species
UACGGGGGGGGCAAGCGUUGUUCGGAAUUACUGGGCGUAAAGGGCGCGUAGGCGGCCUGCUAAGUCGGACGUGAAAUCCCCCAGGCUCAACCCGGGAACUGCGUCCGAUACUGGAAGGCUUGAAUCCGGGAGAGGGAUGUGGAAUUCCAGGUGUAGCGGUGAAAUGCGUAGAUAUCAAGAGGAACACCUGAGGUGAAGACGGGUUGCUGGGCUGACACUGACGCUGGAGGCGCGAAAGCGUGGGGAGCAAACAGG